CUUAACACACCGUUUUUCAUUCAACAGCCAAAAGCAACUGAUCCAUUUUGAUCCAGCUGAGCCAAACAUAACUCAGCAAAGAUUGGCUUUGGCAGGCAGGUUUCUCACCUGAGAUCUGCGCAGUCACUGCAGACGGCUUCUUCUUCACCCCCAGGAAGCGGACGGACUGCACAGAGCACUCUGCAUCAUACUUCCCCCUGUCGUCUGCGCAGCUAAAAACGCAACAAGCAGAGCUUAGGAACUGGAACAGCACAAAACCCAGCCUUCUGGGAAAACCUUCAUCUCACCGAUUCAGCAGACGACCCCGCUCCAGGGAAAAACGGCGCAGAGCAAACUGCUUCCUGUCCCGGAAGUUGAAGGAGUAUCCGUCAUCCAGGUACAGGUCCCCCUCUGCGCAGCCCUGCAAGUCCAGGGCGACAGUGAGAGUGAAGGGGAGCUUCUGCAGGUCGGCUGUGCAGGAUCCAGACUCCGUCCUCCGGCUGACCACCGCGCCCCCAUGCUGAAACAGGGGGACCUGAGAG